rnacentral:rRNA from 1 species
AACGAACGCUGGCAGCAUGCCUAACACAUGCAAGUCGAACGAGACCUUCGGGACUAGUGGCGCACGGGUGCGUAACGCGUGGGAACCUGCCCUUAGGGUCGGAAUAACUCUCCGAAAGGGGUGCUAAUACCGGAUAAUGUCUACGGACCCAAGAUUUAUCGCCUUUGGAUGGACACGAGUUGGAUUAGCUAGUUGGUAGGGUAAAAGCCUACCAAGGCGACGAUCCAUAGAUUGUCUGAGAGGAUGAUCAGCCACACUGGGACUGAGACACGGCCCAGACUCCUCCGCGAUGCAGCAGUGCCGAAUAUUGGACCAUCGGCUAAAUCCUGAUCCAGCUCUGCCGCGUGAGUGAUGAAGUCCGUAAGGUUGUAAAGCUCUUUUACCCGGGAUGAUAAUGACAGUACCGAGAGAGUAAGCCCCGGCUAACUCCGUG